UACGUAGGAGGCGAGCGUUGUCCGGAAUCACUGGGCGUAAAGCGCGCGUAGGCGGGAAGGCAAGUCUGCUGUGAAAGCGCCUGGCUUAACCGGGCGAGGUCGGCGGAAACUGCUUAGCUGGAGGGCGGUAGAGGGGGGUGGAAUUCCCGGUGUAGUGGUGAAAUGCGUAGAGAUCGGGAGGAACACCUGUGGCGAAGGCGGCCCCCUGGGCCGCACCUGACGCUGAGACGCGAAGGCGUGGGGAGCGAACGGG
rnacentral:rRNA from 1 species